GUGAGUAACACGUGGGUAACCUGCCUUAAAGUGGGGGAUAACACUUGGAAACAGGUGCUAAUACCGCAUAACCAUCAAAACCGCCUGGUUUUGAUGUUAAAGAUGGUUCUGCUAUCGCUUUAAGAUGGACCCGCGGCGUAUUAGCUAGUUGGUGAGGUAAUGGCUUACCAAGGCAAUGAUACGUAGCCGAACUGAGAGGUUGAUCGGCCACAUUGGGACUGAGACACGGCCCAAACUCCUACGGGAGGCAGCAGUAGGGAAUCUCCCACAAUGGACGAAAGUCUGAUGGAGCAACGCCGCGUGAGUGAAGAAGGUUUUCGGAUCGUAAAACUCUGUUGUCAGAGAAGAACGUGUGUGAGAGUAACUGUUCACGCAGUGACGGUAUCUGACCAGAAAGUCACGGCUAACUACGUGCCAGCAGCCGCGGUAAUACGUAGGUGGCAAGCGUUGUCCGGAUUUAUUGGGCGUAAAGGGAACGCAGGCGGUCUUUUAAGUCUGAUGUGAAAGCCUUCGGCUUAACCGAAGUCGGGCAUUGGAAACUGGGAGACUUGAGUGCAGAAGAGGAGAGUGGAACUCCAUGUGUAGCGGUGAAAUGCGUAGAUAUAUGGAAGAACACCAGUGGCGAAAGCGGCUCUCUGGUCUGUAACUGACGCUGAGGUUCGAAAGCGUGGGUAGCAAACAGGAUUAGAUACCCUGGCAGUCCACGCCGUAAACGAUGAAUGCUAAG
rnacentral:rRNA from 1 species